rnacentral:lncRNA from 1 species
GUGCUGCAGGCUGGUUUUCUCAAGAUCCACCACCCUGCAGCGAGCUGCUGAAUUGCAGCUGGCGUUUGUUUUUUCCCCUCCACUGCUUUGUGAAAAUGUUCCUGUAAUUUUCCUUGGUCUGUAUGACAGUUAAUGCCCAGAAGAGCUAUUGUCCUCAGACUUGGCAACUCCACGGCAUCUUCCUUCUUUCAUUAUAAAGGAAAACAGAAGUUAACUGAGAAGAAAUCUUCAUUCUGAUCACUGUGAGAAGCAACUCUGACUUAGCUCCAAGGGAGCUGCUGUCCCUGCCUUUGAGCUCUGGCUUGCAGGAGACCCCUCUUCCGCACAAUGCGUCCUCUCUCGUCUGAUUGCAGCAGCUCAGAAACUUCCUGAAUGAGUGAAUACAUGGUUCAGCUGGGGGAGCUGAGCAAGGAGCCUGACUGGUGGUGCAUGCAGUCCUGGGGGAGAGAGAGUGCUGCAGGAGCAGGUGGGUCUCUCCACAAGCCUCCAUCUUGGAUUUUGGGGA